rnacentral:snRNA from 1 species
GGAUGUGAGGGUGAUCUGGCUGCGACAUCUGUCACCCCAUUGAUCACCAGGGUUGAUUCGGCUGAUCCGGUUGGCUAGGCAGGUGUCCCCUUCCUCCCUCACUGCUUCAUGUGUGUCCCCCUCAACGCUGUGAGCUCAGUAGAAGAAGAGAACCUUUCCCACCAGAGGAGAACUGUUCUUCCAUCAAGGGUAUACAAGUAGCUGCACUCCCCUGCUAGAACCUCCAAACAAGCUCUCAAGAAUAUUAGACUCUGCUAAAGGCUACCUACCUAUCAAGUUGAAACAUAGAAUUUUAUCAAAAGUUUAAUAAGUGAUU